rnacentral:rRNA from 1 species
CUACGGGCCGCACCAGUGGGGAAUAUUGCACAAUGGGCGCAAGCCUGAUGCAGCCAUGCCGCGUGUAUGAAGAAGGCCUUCGGGUUGUAAAGUACUUUCAGCGGGGAGGAAGGGAGUAAAGUUAAUACCUUUGCUCAUUGACGUUACCCGCAGAAGAAGCACCGGCUAACUCCGUACCAGCAGCCGCGGUGAAUACGGAGGGUGCAAGCGUUAAUCGGAAUUACUGGGCGUAAAGCGCACGCAGGCGGUUUGUUAAGUCAGAUGUGAAAUCCCCGGGCUCAACCUGGGAACUGCAUCUGAUACUGGCAAGCUAGAGUCUCGUAGAGGGGGGUAGAAUUCCAGGUGUAGCGGUGAAAUGCGUAGAGAUCUGGAGGAAUACCGGUGGCGAAGGCGGCCCCCUGGACGAAGACUGACGCUCAGGUGCGAAAGCGUGGGGAGCAAACAGGAUUAGAUACCCCUGUAGUC